GCCAUUUCAGUGCCAUUUCGGUGCCAUUUUGGUGCGGUUUUGGUGCCAUUUCUGUGCCAAUUUGGUGCCAUUUUGGCUCUGUUCUGGCACCGUUUCAGUGCCAUUUUGGUGCCAUUUUGGUGUCAUUUCAGUGCCAUUUUGGUGCUUUUUUUGUCACCAUUUUGGUGCCAUUUUGGCUCUGUCCUGGCCCUGUUGCA
rnacentral:lncRNA from 1 species